AGAGUUUGAUCCUGGCUCAGGAUGAACGCUGGCGGCGUGCUUAACACAUGCAAGUCGAGCGAGUGAAUUUGUCGGAUCCUUCGGGUGAAGACAUUGGAUCUAGCGGCGGACGGGUGAGUAACGCGUGGGUAACCUACCCUGUUCACCGGGAUAACAUACCGAAAGGUAUGCUAACACCGGAUAAAAUGGUAGCUUCGCAUGGAGCAACCAUCAAAGGAGACGGAACAGGAUGGACCCGCGUUUCAUUAGCUAGUUGGUGAGGUAACGGCUCACCAAGGCGACGAUGAAUAGCCGACCUGAGAGGGUGAUCGGCCACACUGGAACUGAGACACGGUCCAGACUCCUACGGGAGGCAGCAGUGGGGAAUAUUGCACAAUGGGCGAAAGCCUGAUGCAGCAACGCCGCGUGAGCGAUGAAGGCCUUCGGGUCGUAAAGCUCUGUUCUAAGGGAAGAAUAAUGACGGUACCUAGGAGNAG
rnacentral:rRNA from 1 species